rnacentral:lncRNA from 1 species
AACUUAUCUAUAAAUUCAUAAUUGUUUCAUAUUUCUUAAACAUAUAUUUUAUGAAAAAUCAUUUUCACAAAAUUUAUCUCAAAAAAUUACAGCAAACAUGCCCUAAGUAAUUUCAAAAUGACACAGUACGGGAAACGUUGCCCUCUUUUUUUUCCCUGCAAAAGAAUAUUUGAAAGGCCCAUCCUCUAUUGACACGUGACAUUGUACAGCUCUCACAUUUCAAAACCGUAAUGCCCAUUUGUCCUUAUUUGAAAUUCCCAAAUUUUACAUAUUAACUUCAUCUGCAACCAAUUUGUUGAAGAAAAAGAAACCACGCUGCCGGACAUUUCUAUAAUCCGAUGCCGUCGAUCUUUCCCAUGAAGACGGUUCAUUACCAACAACAUGAGGAGGCACAACUUUCUUUAUUUCGUUCAUAUCAACAUAACUUCGGUAUUGAUUAUAGCCUCUUAAGUGAAAUGGUUACUUAAUCUGCUCUUAUUUGCUUGGUUUCUGCAGAUUGAAAAGGUAACUUACUCUACUCUUAUUUACCUUGGUUUCUACAGAGUUUCUAGCCAUUAUAGUCUGCAAAUUCUUAAUUUAGCUUCGAAAGAAGAAAAACUCAGCCCAUUGAAUCUGAUUGAACUGGACUGGAAUCAACUGUAGCAAAGUUAGUUUGUAUGAGCAUUUUCUCUGUGAAGCAGCUUCUUCAGGUGUAUCAUAAGUUCCAACAACCAUCCGCUUGAAGGCCUUUGUCUCACACCUGCAAAUCCCCGUGGGGGUGGGGAAUUUGCUUCGUGAUUUUUCAUUUGCAAUUUUUAUAUAUUUUCAUUGUCAAGCUCACAAGUGUAAAACAAAUAUCCAUUGAAGUUAAUAGUACAGAACAUUUAUCUUGUUGUUCGUAGUGAUUGGAUAUGCCUCAAUUCUACUCACUGGUCUAGUUUUCAUUUUCUAUACAUGGUUGGUUAAAGUAUUUGAGAUGAUAGGAAAAUAUAAGAUGGUAGUGCAUCUACUUGGUGUGAUAUUCCAUCAAAUGCUAGUUUUGAAUGGUAAAACUGAUCACACACAUCAAAUUCUAUUCGCACUUUACAUGACUUCCAUCAUAUGCUAUAUUAGGAAUUAGGUUGAAGGCACUUCAUCAAGUUUCAUCCUGGUAAUGACACCGGCAUUUGUAAGAUCCGCUACAUCUUAAUAUGAGAUUAAUAAUCUUUUCUUUGGUGUUUACACACUAGUUAGAAAGGCCUUUGGUGUUUACACACUAGUUAGAAAGGCUAUAGUAAAAUGUAGCGGAUUUUACAAAUUUCAGUGUCAUUACCAAGAUGAAACUUGAUGAUUUGCCUUCAACCUCAUUCCUAAUAUAGCAUAUGAUGGAAGUCAUGUUAAGUACGAAUAGAAUUUGAUGUGUCUUCAUCACUUUUCCCAUUCAAAACCAACAUUUGAUGAAAUAUCACACCAAGUAGAUGCACCGCCAUCUUAUAUUUUCCUAUCGUCUCAAGUACUUUAGCCAAUUAUGCAUAGAAGAUGAAAACUAGACUAAUGAAUAGAAUUGAGGCAUCUCCAAUCACUACAAACCAGAUAAGUGUUCUUGUACUAAAAACUUCAGUUAAUAUCUUUUUCAUACUUGUGCGUUUGACAAUGAAAAGGUACAAAAAUUGCACAUGAAAAAUUCCAUAUGAAUGUACCUUACAUUAUAAUAAUGGCAUUGAGUUAGUCAUUUUUGGAGAUGAUGGCGACACCUCAAAUGAUGAGAUCCGAAUGAUGGUGACUUCACAUGAUUACGUCCGUGAAACUGCAUCAAACGGUGUUCGAACUCAGCCUACCUUUUGGGGAAUUUGCUUCGUGAUUUUUCAUUUGCAAUUUUUAUAUAUUUUCAUUGUCAAACUCACAAGUGCGAACCAAAUAUCCAUUGAAGUUAAUAGUGCAGAACAUUUAUCUUGUUCGUAGUGAUUGGAUAUGCCUCGAUUCUACUCACUGGUCUAGUUUUCAUCUUCUAUGCAUGGCUGGUUAGAGUAUUUGAGAUGAUACGAAAAUAUAAGAUGGUAGUGCAUCUACUUGGUGUGAUAUUCCAUCAAAUGCUAGUUUUGAAUGGUAAAACUGAUCACACACAUCAAAUUCUAUUUGCACAUUACAUGACUUCCAUCAUAUGCUAUAUUAGGAAUGAGGUUGAAGGCAAUUCAUCAAGUUUCAUCCUGGUAAUGACAUCGACAUUUGUAAGAUCCGCUACAUCUUAAUAUGAGAUUAAUAAUCUUUUCUUUGGUGUUUACACACUAGUUAGAAGGCCUUUGGUGUUUACACACUAGUUAGAAAGGCUAUAGUAAGAUGUAACGGAUCUUACAAAUGUCGGUGUCAUUACCAGGAUGAAACUUGAUGAUUUGCCUUCAACCUCAUUCCUAAUAUAGCAUAUGAUGGAAGUCAUGUUAAUUACGAAUAGAAUUUGAUGUGUCUUCAUCACUUUUUCCAUUCAAAACCAACAUUUGAUGAAAUAUCACACCAAGUAGAUGCACCGCCAUCUUAUAUUUUCCUAUCGUCUCAAGUACUUUAGCCAAUCAUGCAUAGAAGAUGAAAACUAGACUAAU